CGCGUAGGCGGCUUUAUAAGUCAGAUGUGAAAACCCACGGCUUAACUGUGGAAGUGCAUUUGAAACUGUGAGGCUUGAGUAUCGGAGGGGAGUGUGGAAUUCCCGGUGUAGAGGUGAAAUUCGUAGAGAUCGGGAGGAACACCGGUGGCGAAGGCGACACUCUGGACGAAUACUGACGCUGAGGCGCGAAAGCGUGGGGAGCAAACA
rnacentral:rRNA from 1 species